rnacentral:rRNA from 1 species
UGGGGAAUUUUGGUCAAUGGGCGCAAGCCUGAACCAGCCAUGCCGCGUGCAGGAUGAAGCAUCUAUGGUGUGUAAACUGCUUUUGUACGGGAAGAAACCACCCCUCGUGAGGGGUAUUGACGGUACCCGAAGAAUAAGCACCGGCUAACUACGUGCCAGCAGCCGCGGUAAUACGUAGGGUGCAAGCGUUAAUCGGAAUUACUGGGCGUAAAGCGUGCGCAGGCGGUUGUGUAAGACAGAUGUGAAAUCCCCGGGCUCAACCUGGGAACUGCGUUUGUGACUGCAUCACUCGAGUACGGCAGAGGGAGGUGGAAUUCCGCGUGUAGCAGUGAAAUGCGUAGAGAUGCGGAGGAACACCGAUGGCGAAGGCAGCCUCCUGGGCCUGCACUGACGCUCAUGCACGAAAGCGUGGGGAGCAAACA